UGAAAUUCCAUGAUGGGAAAAAGUAAGCUAUGCGCUUGAUCCGCAGAGAGUCGGCAUUUGCUGCGAGCCGACGUUCGGGACGUAGCCGAAAAUCAUCCCGGAGAAGUAAAGCUGAAACUCAAGCGACCAGUAAGCUUUACCGGAGGUCCGCCGUUAUACGGAACGCGUAUGGCGCACGUACGUUGAUGAGGUGCUGUUUUGCCGGUUGUAAGAGCAAGACAGAACAAGGGUGGUAACGCGAGUCGAAUCUCGUCCCUUAU
rnacentral:ncRNA from 1 species